ensembl:lncRNA
CAUGGAGCCAGCUCGAGAGUGGAUUCAAAACAUUAGCGCGACUCAGGCGGCUGAUCGCGAGGUUUAUGCUUUAUUUACGUGAUUAAAAUAAGAAUACAGGGCUCCUCUCGGUGACAGGAAAAAGAGAGCAUCGGGGUCCUACCGUCAGCGGCCAGGGAGCUCUGCAUCAUCAGCAUCAGCACCGCGCCGAUGGUCACAAACCACCGGGCCACCAUUCCAUUCAGCACGCGCGUCCUCUUCCCGAUCCUCGGCGAGUAGACGGCCACCAUCCCCGCAUCCAGGAUCCAUAGCGACGAGGAGGAAGAGCAGGGGUCUUCUUUCUUAUUUACCCCUCCGACCCCGGGGCCACCGCUGCUGGAGAGGCGCGCAUGUUUGGGAGCCAUUGGUUAACCAAUUAAUCCUGAAUGGGAAACAUCUAACGGCGCUGCUGGGAUGAAAGGCAUCCGAUCAACCUGCCCCCGGUUCGGACAAGCAGGGCUCCGCUCUCCAUGAGCCUGCUGGAGGCUGUGAAGGUCGACGAGGAAACAAAGAAGCGUGGAAAGAGUAGUGGAAUAUCUGGUGAACCUGAGCCUGCUGCUCAACCACAGAGACCCAUACCUCCAGGUGGACCAACCACCAACAUAUUUGGGCCUGCAGUCACUGCACCUGCACAAAGUCCAAGCUGAAGCCCCCCAAAUAAGCCAAAGGUAGGCUGUAACAUUACCUUCCUUUCACUCUUUGACUUGUAUUUUAU